AAAAUUAUGCUGAUAAAAAUGUAGUAAAUUUUUUUUCUUAAGUGAAUAAAUUAAUGAUUUUAAAUACUUAUGAAUAUUUAUAAGCGCGCACAGUGGGUCUGAAAAGGUUUCGUAAGCGUAAUUUUUGCAGUGUAAAGCAAUGAAAGGAGCUUAAGGAAAGGAAAGGAAUCCCUUUGGUAUACAUUCCUUAAGAAUUUCCAAGUUAUAUUUAGAUUAUAUUCGUAAAACGAUCAUUAUAAGGGCUUAUAAAUGAUCUCUGGAACUUGUCACUUUUUAUUUAGUAAAGUGGUUUUUGAAAAGCGCAAAGCAUAUGUCUUUAGAGCCGUCCACAUGAGCGAGGAGUACCGAAGACGAUGGAACCAUGAACUGUAUGAGUUAUACGGCCUCUUGAAUAUAGUUAAACGCAUAAAAAUCCAACGAAUACGCUGGUUGGGAAGACGAUGCUCUAGUGAAAAGCUCCUUUGAGACGAGAUCCAUUGAUGGAAAACUUAAGCAAGGGCGCCCACGCAUCCAAUAGAAAGAUCGAGUGCAUGGUGACCUGUCAUUACUUGGGAUGUACAACUGGCGUGAUUUCGCAGAGGAUAGAAGCAAAUAGUGAAGUUUUGUAUUCUUGGACCAGACCCACCAAUUGUUGUAGUGCCAAAAAAGAAGCAGAAAUGUAUGGAAAACUUCGAGAUUGUUGUAGUCAAUGUCCAAUAAACACGUUUCCUUCGUUCUUUCCUUUCGGUUGCAAUACUAAUGAUCCAAGUUUAGUAAAUUUUGUGGAAUUAUAGACCUACUAUAGCACAGAAAUGUUGCAAAAAUUAAAUUUUACGUUGAAAUAAUAUUCCGAUCUAACCGAUUAAUUUCUUAUAAUGGAUCGUUGUUUCUCAUAAAAAAAAAUUAUUUGAGAGGUUUUCGUAUCCAAAAGGUUUAGUAUAAUUAUUUGAAUUCGGGAACAUUUCUAAGUUUUGAGUUUUGAAUCAUUUCAACCUGAAUGUUCGUCUUAUAGCGUUUCACUUUAUGCCCUUCUUUAUGGGGUGGAUCAUUGUCCUCUUAAAAUUGUUUUUAUGUGACCCUUUUAGACUAUACUUGCUACUAUAUUCAAGGUUUUGGGAAACGAUUGAUUUCUAAUUAUCACAGACGGAGAUACCGUUUUCUAAAGUUGUUGUUGUUCUUGAAACAUAAAAUGUAUAUUCAGAAACAUGCUCAAAUAAUCCGGGUUCUUGAAACAUUGAGAGACACCAAUCUCCAGGCGACAUAUGAUCUAACAACAGCACUUACUUCAAACUACAUAUUUCUUUGAUGGGUUUUUGUCAUUCUUUCACCGCACACUGUGCCUUUCCUUCCAUUAUUUCCGCAUUGACCCGACAGUGUUGACGUAAUUGCACUAGAGUUCCUUGCUGCCGUUGGAUUUCCCGGCAGGGUUUUGGAAUGUAAUAUUUUAUGCAGAUUAUUGCUAUUGCUUUUUCUGCGCAGGAACACAUUGAUAAACCGGCUCGCGUGUCCUUUAAGGUGUGGUUUGGGUUUGGUGAACGUCAACGACUGGUCAAAGUCUUACAAUUGUAUUGUUUGGCGACGCACGCCGUGAGACCUCGGCAACACCUUUAGCGGCCAAAACGUUCCCACAACUAUCGCAUAUACACUUAGGUGCGGUUUUACUUUACUACAUACUAGAUGAGUUUAUUGACUUGCGGGCACGCACCGGCAGAGUAACAUACAAAUUUAUAUAUCACUACGGGUAUUUAUGUAAAUGCAAUGCGCUCGCCGGCAUUACGACUACACACAGGACGUGACCGCAUUCGUUGGGAUUGCCUGCGCUCGACUACUUUGUUUUCAUAACACUGAUAACUUCGCGGUUUUCGUGCUUUGUUGUGACGCUGCCGUUAAACGCUAAACACAAUACUAAUUUGCAAUAAGAAAAAAAAUUAUAAGCAAAACAGGCGCCUUCUCACGCCACAUGCAACCCACGUACGAAGGCAGGUAAUGUGUGUGUGUAUUUAUGUGCGCUUGCUUGUUGAAAGCGGUUACGUGUCCUCCAGCCGGUAUUCGAAGGUGUUUUUGAGGAGGUGUGAUGGCAUUCCAACAACUUUCGAAAGUGCUCGCAAACCCACAACAACACCAAUAAUCAACGGCAAAAUUAUAACAAUUGCAGAUGAUUUCAACAAACAAGCGAAGCCCUCUGCUUAAGCAUUUCGAAAAUUAUAAUAAUAACGCGCAACAACAACAACAAAAACAAAAUAAAGAUUGCGAUUUUUUUUUUUUUUCAAAAAUAUUAAUAACAUAACUCACCAGCUGUAUGACCGCUGUUGUCUGUUUUGUCUUCUUCGUGCCUUUCAAAUAUUUCGCCGUUCCUUUGCCGCGCUUCAAGUUCUUUUUUUAUAUUUUUUUAUUUCUUAUUUAUUGUCUCGAGUAUUAAUAUUGUUGGUUUGAAACUAGCCA